rnacentral:rRNA from 1 species
UACAGAGGUCUCAAGCGUUGUUCGGAUUCAUUGGGCGUAAAGGGUGUGUAGGUGGCGCGCUAAGUCGGGUGUGAAAUUUCGGAGCUUAACUCCGAAACUGCAUUCGAUACUGGCGUGCUUGAGGACUGGAGAGGAGACUGGGAAUUCAUGGUGUAGCAGUGAAAUGCGUAGAGAUCAUGAGGAAGACCAGUGGCGAAGGCGGGUCUCUGGACAGUUCCUGACACUGGAGACACGAAGGCCAGGGGAGCAAACGGG